AUCGACGGCGGGCGGUGCGUGGGGGCCUCGUGCCCGCCGAUUCGUUGACCCGGUCUUGGAAGCCACGCAUCGUCCGCCACCCUU
rnacentral:antisense_RNA from 1 species